rnacentral:lncRNA from 1 species
GCUGCGGGAAAAGAUCCAGAUGCCAGCCUCGUUGUAAAUUUCAACCAUGUGCAUAUGUUAUUUCUAGCUGGAAGCCUCUGGAGUUGGGCGGACCAGGUUCAAGUUCACUCUGGCUGUGCGCAUUCGUCACGUAUUUUGAUUGAGAUGAUGAGAUGGAGGAUCUGAUACAGUUGCAUUGUGUGGAAGCAAUUUUUGUAAGGCCUGAACUUCGUGUUAAUAAUCUGCUAUAUCCGACCAUAUCCCUUCGGCGUUUGUUGGGUAAAUAAUGGUCCCUAGGCGGCCAAACUAGACUUUGAAUGGACUUCAAUAUAUACGUAGAUUAUUAGCCUAGCCUUCUGUCCAUGUCCCCUUUUUUCACUUCCACGUAUUUGUUUUUUUUUUCGUUUCUCACUUCUGAUUGAAAUUUUGCGGUGGAAUGGUUUAUAUACUUCCAUUGGUCCUAUGUGUUCUUUUGAUUUGAAAAAUUCUUGUAUCUGGAAAGUAAAGAACUCUCGUUCGCUGUAAAAUUGUUCAAAACAUGUGAGUAGCAAAAGGGUGGUCAACGGCGAUUAUUCAAGGAAGGUCAUUAUGCGUGGGCGUGGGUCCAUGGCGUGAAGGCGGGGGAUUCGCAGUGGUCGCCGUCACGUCUCCGGCGAGGUCGCCUUCUACAUUUAGGGCCUUCCGUUCCGUGUGGAAUUGGCAAGUCUCCUCGCCGUACAGCAAGAAGUACGUACUAAAUACUCGUUUGUGAUCUGAGGCCUGACCGCGUAUUUAGCCGCCUCCCCGGCUACAGAAACGAAACGGAGCAAGAGAAGAGAAAGAGAGUCUCCACACGCGCGACGUGAGUGGAACGUGCCACGCCCACGCGGUCGUCGGCUGGAGACGCCCCACUGAUUACGCGAGCCCCAAGGCCCCGACCCACCCCACCAGCACAGCGCCCUCGCCGCCCGCCGCUCACCUGCCCCGCGCCCCUCCGGCCGUAUAAAUACAAGGCGCCCGUGGCGGAGAUGGGCACCGCUUUUUCCUCCUCCUCUUCCACCCCAGAGUCCAGAGCUAUGGCGCUCGCCAAGGCCAAGGAGAUCGUCGCCUCCGCUUCCGUCGUCGUCUUCAGGUCUGCCUCUCCGACUCAUCUCCCCUCUCUCCAUCUCACCGAUCGCUCCUGCCAUGAACAGACGCCGCUGAACUCGACUUGGAAAUUCGGUCUGUGAUAAGAACUGAAAAGGGGGCGCGGAUGAUCAGGAAUAGAUCCCACACUAGUUCCGCAUCUUAUCCUUGGUCUUCUUUCCCCAUCCCCUAUGAGUAGAGCAUAUUCGUUCUUGUUUUUUAUUCCCUGUUCUUUUUAAAUUCUUUUCCGGUGGAGGAAGAAAGCUGCCUUAAAUAUAUCUAAUUAGAAGAACUGUACCCAAAUCCUAUUGGCUUGUUUGAAUUCCGGAUGCGCCACGGCCUUGAAAUUAAGGAUCCUCGGACCUCUUGCAAGGGAUUGGGACGUUGUUAGGGGAUCUACUAGCUAGGUUUAUGUUGCGUCUUAAAUAUUUGGUCCAACUACUACUGUUUGUACCUGUUCCGAUGAUGAUGAGCUUAACUACUACUCCAUCCAUUCCAAAGUAAAUUAAGUCUGGUGGUUUUGGUUCAAGUUUUAUGUCGCGUUCUAAAUAUUUCGUCCAACUACUGUUUGUACCUGUUCCGAUCAAAUAUGUAGUAGUAGUACUGUAUUUGUAACGACAUGUUUGAUGCCCAAUGCUACAUGCCCUGUUGACGCUAACUCUGAUUCAUCUGAUUCUUUGGGCUAUCUGCAGCAAGUCUUACUGCCCUUUCUGUGUUCAAGUGAAGAAGUUGCUCACGCAGCUUGGAGCAAGUUUCAAGGCCGUUGAGAUGGACACUGAAAGUAAGUAGAAUUGUCCUGUCUCUUGGUUAUUUAAAUUUCACUUAAGUAGACUGUAUGCACCUAAGUUUCACGGCCACGGGCUCCCAACAAUUUUUUAGAUGAAUAAUAACCUUAAGUUUCCUGCAUCCGGAUGUUGCUUUGUACUGUUGCGUUGAAAUAGUGUCCUUGUUGGGUUUAUAAGAGCUUAAUGCAGGUUAUUUUCCUGCAUUUGGAUUGCCCUGUGUACUGUUUUGUUGAAAUACUAUGCGUAUUGGGUUUAUGAGCUUUCAUACUGCUGUGGCCUGGAAAAGAAUUUAAUAUGACAGCACAAUUUUUGGAAAAGAUUUCAGUAAGCUCACUACGUAAUGAUGUGAGUGUGAUAUCAAAUCUCUUGGUAGCUUUGAUGAUUGGUUAGACACAUUAAGAAGCAAUUGAGUUUUCUGUUAACAAAGAAGCAAUUGAGGUCCCAAGGAUCCAACAAUGAAUCACUAUGUAGGGGCAGCUCUUUUGGCAGCUUAAAAAAUAAGCCACCUUCUUCCUAGUUUUUCCUAUAAGCCUUCUCUCUUAUUCAUCGGGGCUUCUAAAUUAGUUAUGGGAUAAAUAAUUUAGAAGUCUCAACAAAUUUUAUGUGCGGCUUAUUUUAUAAGCUGGGGAGAGGCAGCUUAUUUUUUAAGCCGCCUAAAAGAACUAGACCGUAAUGAAAGUGAUAUCAUCAGAACCUCAGAGUAGUUAGUCUUCUUUUUAGUGUUUACAUGCUAUGAGCAAAACACGUUUCUUUUAGAUUCUGCUCCCAGUCGUACUACGCUACUACUCAUCUACGCUCGUGAUAAACAAUCAAGCAUGUUCUAAGUUCUAAUUGCAUCAUGUAUUGGCUCUGCAUUGGGAUGAUCGGCACAGGACUUGGGAGAAACCUUAUUCAACUAACCCAUGUUAUCUUUUAUGAAGGCGAUGGAACUGAGAUUCAGUCAGCUCUUGCUGAAUGGACUGGGCAGAGGACUGUUCCCAAUGUCUUCAUCAAUGGAAAACACAUCGGUGGCUGUGACGGUGAGCUGAUUUGCUCCCUACAACCAUGUUAAACUGUUGAUUGUAGUUAUGGUUCUAUGAACAAGCAGCAAAUUCCAUUGUGCGAGGCUUUGCUUUCUUGCAAUUGGAUUACUUUCUGAUAGUUACUUCCAUGUCAAUGUCUUCUGUGGCAGAUACUAUUGCACUGAACAAGGGAGGGAAGCUGGUUGCUCUGCUGACAGAGGCUGGAGCGAUCUCCGGUUCUUCUUCGAAGACCACCGUCACUGCUUAGCUUUGUUUGCGAGUUGUUGUGAUCGACAUGUUAGUGUGUUACAUGAGUUGCAUUGUUCCCGUGUCAUGAAAUAACGAAGUUGGAUGUGUUUGGCAAGUUCAGGGCUUGUUGCUGUCUAGCAUGUCCGCAGCGACUGUUAAAUCUCAGUGUAAAACUCGUUAGAAAUAAAGCAAAUUAUUUUGGUGAUAUCAUCAAACCCCAAAUUACUGUCGUUCGUUUGCAUAUAUACAUGUCACUCUUUAUUGUUUCCCUGCUGAAAGGGAACCGUAGACGUUUAAGGCAGAAUUCAGUUUCAUGACAGAAUCUGCAGACCAAUUUUUCUACCGCCGGUAACCAAGCAUUUUCAGGCACAGCUUGUACACCACCAGCUCCUCGUCUUCGUCCAUUGGUGCCUUCGCUGCGGGCAGCUCGCCGUGCGGGAAGUCCUUCCCGAACCCGUACUCCUCCAUCCACCACUCCGUCCGAGACACCCGCCUCACCGUCACGUCGUCUUCCCGGUACAAGAACACGCGGCGGUACCCUAUGUCCCCGCCAUUGCCGUUCACGACGCGGCCUUCGCGCACCGGCACGUACGCCCCUGGCCCUGCCCUCCGCGGGCGCGCUUUGUCCUCGUCGUUCUCCUCUAGCUCGCGCCGGCGCUGAUGCGCGGCGAAGAACCACUCGCACCGGUCGUUGGCCGCCGGGAACGCCACCGUGAGCACCGCCGGGUGCGCGGCAAAGACGUCGGGCACGGCGUACAAUCUGCAGCGCCGUGGGUCACCCAGGUUGAGGCUGUCGAGGUAGAGCUGGACGAGCACCUGCGGCUUAUUCAUGUCUUGGUGGUGCGCGGGGGACGCGGGCUGGUGGACGCCGAGCAUCGUAUGGACGACCCCGCCACGCGCCGGGUAGAGCUUGCAGACCACCAUGUCGAAGGCAGCGGCGGCAGAGCGGCAGUCGCCGUACUCGUCCAUGCGCCACUCGGUCUCCCUGGUCGAGGCCGAGCCAACCUCGGCCUCGUCCUCGUAGUAGCGGAAGGCGUGGCAGUAGGCGGCGCCGCCGAGCAGCCUGGCCUCGCUGCCGAGGCGGUACGCGCCGGGCCCGGCCCUGCGCCGCCCGCCCUGGCAUUGCGCGCGGCACACGAAGAAGAACCACUCGGGCCGGCCGUUGGCCGGCGGGUACACGGCGGCGAGGAAGCCGGGGUGCGCGCCGUAGACGUCGGCGUCGUGGAUCUGCCGGGGCAGGCCGUCGCAGAGCAGGGCGCGGCGCAGGGGCAGGUACCGGGCGACGAUGGCGUCCAGGGCCGGGUCGAACGCUUCGUCGGGGGAGGCGUUGACGGCGUCCGUCGCCGUGGCGCGCGGCGGCGGGGGCCUGGGAGGCUUGCCCGAGUUGGGCGGCGCCGGGGGCAGGACGAUCCAGCCGUCGUCGGUCUCCUCCUCCAGGUCGCGGAGGGCGGAGGAAGCCGCCGUGGUGGCCUCCGGCGCAGGCUUCUUCCUGGCCGGCGAGGGUUUAAGGGCGGGCCAGUACAUGUUUGUGUGCCGCACGCUACCGUUCCGCGCGAUGGAUCGGUCGAUCCUCCAAGGGUGCACGCAAGAUCGUUUAUGUCAACGCGAAGCGCGCGGUUCAGGUUCCCGAGGCCGACCGCCCCAACGGGUGAACUUGACGUGGAGGUCGAGCCGGCCGGUCGAAUCAUGGAUCGGAACGGAAUCCGAAGCGAAGUACGGCUGGACGCGGGGUAAAUCUCGCCUUUUAAAGGAAAAAUCUCGUUGCCAGUUUUUAUUUUUUUAAUUUAAAGGGAAAGCAGGAUAAAUGAAUUUCAAACAAUAAUUAGAAAAAAAAAGGUUAUAUAGGGAUACCAAUAUGCCUUCCGGCGGAUUUACGAGCCGAUUUUUUUUUGAGAAAAACGAGCCGAAUAUAUUUUGACCCUUGUCAAGGGGUCUAUGUGCAUGCAUGUAAGGCCUAUCCUUUUCUACCUAGAGAAGCGACUUGCCAGUGCAGGUUGAGAUGGACUCUCUAAUGGCAGUAAAAUUGAUUCAAGCUUCAGAUGUUGACAGAUCGGUUUACUCGUCCAUCAUCAAGGAGAUUACUUAGAUAUCUUCUGUCUUUUCGUGAUUUUUGUAUUACUCAUGUAAAUCGUAGCCAAAAUAAAGUUAGUGAUAGUUUAGCAUAGGGUGUGUCUAGGACACAUCUAGAUGUGCCCUAAUUAUUCCACAUCUAAGUGAGUGAAUCAAGCAUAAGGAGAAAAGGAUAAAAGAGAAAGAAAAUAUUCACACGAAUCUUAAUGUAAGAUCAAUGACAUAUGACUUAGAUGUGCAAUACUUAUGGCACAUCUAGAUGUGCUUUAGCAAAACUGUUUAGCAUAUUUUGCUCGUAGCGAGGGUAGAACCAUGACUUGGCUUGGUUCGGGACCUUGAUGCUUUGAAUUUGGCUGCGAUGGAUUGUAAGGACUUGAGGUUUUGAGUUAUACAAAUUUCUACCUGAAAAAAAAAAGAACUUCUAGCUAGUCGAUGGGCCUCCCAAUUCAAGCUUCUGGAUUUCUUGAGAAGACCUGAUUUCUUCAAAAUUCGCUGAUCUAACCUUGAUCGACAACAUACACAAACCCGUAGGUGCUCAUGGAUUGCUGUUUUUUU